rnacentral:rRNA from 1 species
UACGAAGGGGGCUAGCGUUGUUCGGAUUUACUGGGCGUAAAGCGCACGUAGGCGGAUUGUUAAGUCGGGGGUGAAAUCCUGGAGCUCAACUUCAGAAUUGCCUUCGAUACUGGCUUUCUAGAGGCUGGAAGAGGUUAGUGGAAUUCCCAGUGUAGAGGUGAAAUUCGUAGAUAUUGGGAAGAACACCAGCGGCGAAGGCGGCUCACUGGUCCGGUACUGACGCUGAGGUGCGAAAGCGUGGGGAGCAAACAGG